UCAGGCUAGUUGGGGUAGUAUGUAUAGUUAAAGGGACACUGGUUAGUCGGGCUAAUUGGGGUAGUAUGUAUAGUUAAAGGGGCACUGGUUAGUCGGGCUAAUUGGGGUAGUAUGUAUAGUUAAAGGGGCACUGGUUAGUCGGGCUAGUUGAGGUAGUAUGUAUAGUGAAAGGGGCACUGGUUAGUCGGGCUAAUUGGGGUAGUAUGUAUAGUUAAAGGGCACUGGUUAGUAGGGCUAAUUGGGGUAGUAUGUAUAGUUAAAGGACACUGGUUAGUCGGGCUAAUUGGGGUAGUGUGUAUAGUUAAAGGGCACUGGUUAGUCAGGCUAAUUGGGGUAGUAUGUAUAGUUAAAGGGGCACUGGUUAGUCGGGCUGAUUGGGGUAGUAUGUAUAGUUAAAGGGACACUGGUUAGUCGGGCUAGUUGAGGUAGUAUGUAUAGUGAAAGGGGCACUGGUUAGUCGGGCUAAUUGGGGUAGUAUGUAUAGUUAAAGGGCACUGGUUAGUAGGGCUAAUUGGGGUAGUAUGUAUAGUUAAAGGGACACUGGUUAGUCGGGCUAAUUGGGGUAGUAUGUAUAGUUAAAGGGACACUGGUUAGUCAGGCUAAUUGGGGUAGUAUGUAUAGUUAAAGGGACACUGGUUAGUCAGGCUGAUUGGGGUAGUAUGUAUAGUUAAAGGGACACUGGUUAGUCAGGCUAAUUGGGGUAGUAUGUAUAGUUAAAGGGGCACUGGUUAGUCAGGCUGAUUGGGGUAGUAUGUAUAGUUAAAGGGACACUGGUUAGUCGGGCUGAUUGGGGUAGUAUGUACAUCAAUGUAUAGUUAAAGGAUAUAUGCAUAUAUGAUAAACAGAGAGUAGCAGCAGCGUAAAAGAGGGGUUGGGGGGUGGGGGUAUUGUGUCAUCAUGGGGUAUUGUGUCAUCAUGGGGUAUUGUGUCAUCAUGGGGUAUUGUGUCAUCAUGGGGUAUUGUGUCAUCAUGGGGUAUUGUGUCGUUACGGGGUAUUGUGUCGUUACGGGGUAUUGUGUCGUCAUGGGGUAUUGUGUCAUUAUGGGGUAUUGUGUCGUCAUGGGGUAUUGUGUCAUUAUGGGGUAUUGUGUCAUCAUGGGGUAUUGUGUCAUCAUGGGGUAUUGUGUCAUCAUGGGGUAUUGUGUCGUUACUGGGUAUUGUAUCGUUACCGGGUAUUGUGUCGUCACGGGGUAUUGUGUCAUCACGGGGUAUUGUGUCGUCACGGGGUAUUGUGUCAUCAUGGGGUAUUGUGUCAUCAUGGGGUAUUGUGUCAUCAUGGGGUAUUGUGUCAUCAUGGGGUAUUGUGUCGUUACGGGGUAUUGUGUCGUCACGGGGUAUUGUGUCAUCAUGGGGUAUUGUGUCAUCGUGUCAUUAUGGGGUAUUGUGUCAUUACGGGGUAUUGUGUGUAGAUUGAUGAUGAGAAAAAUGUAUUUAAUCUAUUUUAGAAUAAGGCUGUAACGUAACAAAAUGGGAAGGGGUAUGAAUACUUUCCGAAUUCACUGUGUAUUUCAAAUAGUAUGUUGAAACAAUGUCGAAAUAAACAUGUCUUCAUUUUCACACAGUCAGAAACUAUAAAUAGAUGUCUACAUUUUACAAUCAAUUAGUAAAAAGAGAUCCUCAAAUAUCACAUUCAUUAGUAACUAUCCAUUGUUUUGCAAAGUUGGUUCCUGUUCGUAUUUGGUCAAACAGAAACACUCUGAUGAUUGGUUGACCCAAUAGAACCUUCCACAAUUUCAGCCAAUGGCUGUAAGUUACAGCUGGGGAGGAGGAACUGUGUGCAGUCGACUGUCUGCAAUUGACUUUAUGAUCUUUGAUCAUAUGUUUUUUUUUUUUUAAAGUUCAUGUAGGCGCAAGAUGGACAUUUUUUAUCCCCAUAAUGCAUCACAAUUUGAAAAGGCGGUGACUUGACGAAAGUGAUCCGCUCGAACGAGCCCAUUGCCAUAACAUGUGCAAAUACCUGUCCAAGCAUUGUAAACUCAGUCAGGUGUCAGCAACGUCUGAGCAGAGAAACGCGCCCAAAGACUGCAGGUGGGGGCAUUUAAAGAGCUAGCCCCAACCCUUUUCAUGUGAAUGAGAUGGACUGAGGUGUGGCAACCAAUAAUGCUGUGUUCGUAACCAAGUGGGAGGUCGGGAUUUUUCAAUUGUGAAGUAGUAAAUACCAGUUGAAUGGCCAUUCAUGUGGAUUUUUUCCCCAGUCGUAUGUGGUAAAUUCCCACUUGGUUAUGAAUGCAGCGCACUGAUAACUAACCCCAGAUGUGUCAUUGGCGUUGUUUCCAAUGGGAACAAAGUUGUAUCGUGCCUCACAUUCAUCACACAUGACAUAGGUAUCAUCUUGCUCUUUCAGCACUUCAGCAAAUCUUUCCCAAACUUCACUUUUGUGACCCUCCCGUCUCUUUAUUUUCAACUCUCCAUUUCGCAGAUUUUCUUAAUAAAUUAAUAAACAAUU